rnacentral:rRNA from 1 species
CCUACGGGAGGCAGCAGUGGGGAAUUUUGGACAAUGGGCGAAAGCCUGAUCCAGCAAUGCCGCGUGAGUGAAGAAGGCCUUCGGGUUGUAAAGCUCUUUUGUCAGGGAAGAAACGGUGGGAGCUAAUAUCUCUUGCUAAUGACGGUACCUGAAGAAUAAGCACCGGCUAACUACGUGCCAGCAGCCGCGGUAAUACGUAGGGUGCAAGCGUUAAUCGGAAUUACUGGGCGUAAAGCGUGCGCAGGCGGUUUUGUAAGUCUGAUGUGAAAUCCCCGGGCUCAACCUGGGAAUUGCAUUGGAGACUGCAAGGCUAGAAUCUGGCAGAGGGGGGUAGAAUUCCACGUGUAGCAGUGAAAUGCGUAGAUAUGUGGAGGAACACCGAUGGCGAAGGCAGCCCCCUGGGUCAAGAUUGACGCUCAUGCACGAAAGCGUGGGGAGACAACAGAUAGAUACCUACGUAGUACCACCGACCCGUAACCGACUAGUCUACUAGUUAGUUCGGUUCGUUAAUUAGUACGUUAGGUUAACGUACGA